GGAUUCCCCUAGUAACUGCGAGUGAAGCGGGAAAAGCUCAAAUUUUGAAUCUGGCAGUCUUUUUGGCUGUCCGAGUUGUAAUCUAGAGAAGCGUCUUCUGUGCUGGCCCGUGUACAAGUUUCCUGGAAGGGAGCAUCAUAGAGGGUGAGAAUCCCGUCUUUGACAUGGACUACCAGUGCUGUGUGAUGCGCUCUCGACGAGUCGAGUUGUUUGGGAAUGCAGCUCAAAAUGGGUGGUAAAUUCCAUCUAAAGCUAAAUACAGGCGAGAGACCGAUAGCGAACAAGUACCGUGAGGGAAAGAUGAAAAGAACUUUGGAAAGAGAGUUAAACAGUACGUGAAAUUGCUGAAAGGGAAACGCUUGAUGUCAGUCACGUCGGUCAGGGAUCAACCUUGCUUCAUCGCUGGGCGUACUUUCCUGGUUUGACGGGUCAGCAUCAGUUUUGGUCAUCAUACAAGGGCAGUAGGGAAUGUGGCACUCCUUGGAGUGUGUUAUAGCCUUUUUGUCACAUGUGGUGAUCAGGACCGAGGAACUCAGCACGGCUUUUUGCUUGUGCUCGGGAUGCUGGCUUAAUGGCCUUAACCAACCCUUCUUGAAACACGAACCAAGAAUUCUAACAUGCCUGGCAAUUGUUUGGGUUGAAAACCUCAACCGCGUAAUGAAAGUGAAGUCGAGACCUCUGUCAUGAGGGCAUCGACCGCCGGACCUGAGUCUCU
rnacentral:rRNA from 1 species